rnacentral:rRNA from 1 species
AGAGUUUGAUCCUGGCUCAGAUUGAACGCUGGCGGCAGGCCUAACACAUGCAAGUCGAGCGGAUGAUGGGAGCUUGCUCCCGGAUUCAGCGGCGGACGGGUGAGUAAUGCCUAGGAAUCUGCCUGGUAGUGGGGGACAACGUUUCGAAAGGAACGCUAAUACCGCAUACGUCCUACGGGAGAAAGCAGGGGACCUUCGGGCCUUGCGCUAUCAGAUGAGCCUAGGUCGGAUUAGCUAGUUGGUGGGGUAAAGGCCUACCAAGGCGACGAUCCGUAACUGGUCUGAGAGGAUGAUCAGUCACACUGGAACUGAGACACGGUCCAUACUCCUACGGGAGGCAGCAGUGGGGAAUAUUGGACAAUGGGCGAAAGCCUGAUCCAGCCAUGCCGCGUGUGUGAAGAAGGUCUUCGGAUUGUAAAGCACUUUAAGUUGGGAGGAAGGGCAGUAAGUUAAUACCUUGCUGUUUUGACGUUACCAACAGAAUAAGCACCGGCUAACUUCGUGCCAGCAGCCGCGGUAAUACGAAGGGUGCAAGCGUUAAUCGGAAUUACUGGGCGUAAAGCGCGCGUAGGUGGUUUGGUAAGAUGGAUGUGAAAUCCCCGGGCUCAACCUGGGACCUGCAUCCAUAACUGCCUGAC